GUCUUCCCCGCGCGCCUUGGAUCUGGGGCAAUAGCUGAGAGGGCGUCACCAGCGUGUCGGCGCCUGCGGUUUUCUUCGGGCUGUCCCCAGGCGUCGUGCCCGCGUCCGUCACGCGCGGUGGCUUGCAGGGGCGCACCGCGACAGCCUUAAAGGAAAACCUGUUAGGGACAAGGGCUGCUGUGGGCAGCGAGGGUUAUAGACUCAUGUGUGUUCUGAAUUCUGGUGGGGGUAGUGAUGGACGCUGACCCAGUUCACAGAAUUAUCUGACUGGCGAAGUAAAGGAAAAAAGGUCAAGGUGAACUGAAGAAAAUAAGUCUUUCCCCAAAGGAGGUAGAAGAUGGGGAAGAUGAGAUGUCAGAAGCUAAGGACAAUGGCAGUAGAGAUGAGGUUCUUGUCCCUCAUAAGAAUUGCAGGAAGAAUACCACUGUCCCGGGAAAGAAAGGGGAGGAAAAGUCUCUGGCUCCUGUGUUUGCUGAGAAGUUAAUAUCACCAAGCAGGAGGGGAGCCAAGCUCAAGGACCGUGAGAGCCACCAGGAGAAUGAAGACAGGAACAAUCAAAAUGCCAAAACACUUUUGAUCAAGAACCUGCCUGACAAAGUCACUCCACAUGAAUUAAAAGAAGUGUUUGAGGAUGCUUUUCAAAUCAGAUUAGUGAGCAAAGAUGGGAUGAGUAAAAAGAUUGCAUAUAUUGAAUUCAAGUCACAAGCUGAGACAGAGAGAGCCUUGGAAGAAAAGCAGGGAACAGAGAUUGAUGGGCUUGCCGUAGUUCUCGACCAUAUUGGAGAGAAAAGCCAGGGCCAAGAAACUAGAGAUAGAAAGAACAGCACCUGGAGAGGUGAGGGGUCCCAGAGCUCUGAGGAUUGAGAUUUACCAGGGUUGUCACAGGUGGAUCCCAAGGGAUCCUCUGGUAUGAGGUUAGGGGCACUCGGCACUUUAUUUUUUUAUUAUUAUUUUGAGACAGGGUCUCACUCCCUUCGCCCAGGCAGGAGCG
rnacentral:lncRNA from 1 species